AGGUGGAAUUUGGUUACUUAGAUGUAAUUGGGCACAAUGUAAAAUUAUUUUGAAACUAUUAAGUUUUAGGUAUAAAACAGGAUUAGAUACCCUGCUAUACUUUAAUUAAAGUUGUUAAUUUGAGUAGUAAACAGUUAUGUUCUUUAAACUUAAAGAAUUUGGCGGUAUCUUAGUCUUGUUAGAGGAACCUGUUCUAUAAACGAUAUUCCGCGAAUAAUCUUACUUUUCUUUGUAGUUCAGUUUGUAUACCUCCAUUAUCAGAUAGUUUUAUGAAAAUCUGUUUUAAUAAUAUGAGUUAAUAUAUUAGGUCAAGGUGCAGCUUAUAGAAGAGCAGGUAAUGGGUUACACUAUAAUAUGUUAAAACGAACAAAUAAGGGGAUCUUUGUUUAGAAGGUGGAUUUAAUAGUAAGGUUGUUUUAAUAUGGCACCCUGAUAUUGGCUCUAAGAUAUGUA
rnacentral:rRNA from 1 species